rnacentral:lncRNA from 1 species
CGGACCCCGUGAGGUCGGGGGAGGGACAGCGGGUCCCCUGCUUGCCCUGACUGGUCGCCUUCGGGAUCCCUUUGCGCUGCCUCCCCCGCCGCCGCGGUCUCCCUGGUGGGGACCUCCUGCCCCUCCUGGGACUGAACUCCAAAGUUGGGUGCUGCCUUGGAGGAAUGUGUCGAACUCGGGCUCCUCACGGGCACUUUUCGACCAGUUUCAGAAUCGGAGGAAUGUCGGAUUGCACACCCUGUUGUGAAGUGCACCUACUGCAGGACUGAGUACCAGCAGGAGAGGCUAGAGUGCAAUGGCACGAUCUCGGCUCACUGCAACCUCCACCUCCCAGGUUCAAGCGAUUCUCCUGCCUCAUCCUCCCGAGUAGCUGGGAUUACAG